AAGAAAAAGCCAUUAUAGGGGGAAAAUAACGAGAAAAAGAGAGAGCGACCAGGAGAAGAUAUUGAAAAAGCACUGAAGCUCAAGCACAGAUUUACUAGGUCAGAAGGAAACUACUUGCUCAAAAGGAGACCAGAGGAAUGAAAAUGUGGUAUAACCAGGAGUUGCGAAGUGGUCGUAGUUGUUCAUGUCUCAAUCUGGAUCAUCUUUGCUUUUUGCUUCUGCUUUGUGCUAUCCCUCUUCCCGUACCUCAGUUCUAUCUGGAACCAUGAUCUGUGACUGCCAUGGAAAAGUGUUGGGCAGGAGGAGGCCAGCUGGGUCUUUGAAGUUGACAAUGGAGCCAGGAAUGAAAGCUGCACUUAGGAUGAGAAUUGCUUUCCCUGGAGCCAAGUCAGCAAAUGCAGUCUGGUUGUCAGAGCUGAGAGGCUUCACCAAGUCAAGUAGGGGAGGACAUCUUCACUCUGCAACUUGCCCUACUGAAUGCAGAAAGUACUGUCUACUUAGAUAAAGCCUACACUAAAAGGGAAUUGAAUCUCUGCAAAUAAGUAUGUGGAUCUAAUUUCUACCUUCCAGAUUAAAAGUAUAAU
rnacentral:lncRNA from 1 species